rnacentral:rRNA from 1 species
AUUGAACGCUGGCGGCAUGCCUUACACAUGCAAGUCGAACGGCAGCACGGGAGCAAUCCUGGUGGCGAGUGGCGAACGGGUGAGUAAUGUAUCGGAACGUACCUUUCAGUGGGGGAUAACGUAGCGAAAGUUACGCUAAUACCGCAUAUUCUGUGAGCAGGAAAGCAGGGGAUCGCAAGACCUUGCGCUGAUUGAGCGGCCGAUAUCAGAUUAGCUAGUUGGUGAGGUAAAGGCUCACCAAGGCGACGAUCUGUAGCGGGUCUGAGAGGAUGAUCCGCCACACUGGAACUGAGACAUGGUCCAGACUCCUACGGGAGGCAGCAGUGGGGAAUUUUGGACAAUGGGCGCAAGCCUGAUCCAGCCAUGCCGCGUGAGUGAAGAAGGCC